ACCGCCUACUCCAGUCCUCUCCACCCCAAGGUAGGCAGCUUCCCGCUCCUCGUCUUGGGACCUAAACCCAGGAAGUCAAAUGUCCUUUUCUAGCAGGUCGCCUGGUUAGAGGCCGUGGACGAAGCGGUCCAGGCACAGCCAGCUGCAGGGCGCGGCCUCGGCGGCGCUGCUCGUGGCCCUGGUCAGUGAGCGCACUCACUCCUGGACUAAGGUAACCCGCGUGGAGGAGACCCAGCUCCCAGCUCUAUGCAACUCAUUUUCAUCUAGCAUUACCUCUCCAAAACCUGAAUCUCCACAAGAAAGCCACACAGCAAUUAACCAGUGUUGCAAGAACUGCUUCUGUAAUAAAGGUGGGAAGACAAAUUGAUGCAACCCUCUUGAAAAGCAAUCUGGCAAUAUGAACCAAGAGCCAUGAAAAGGCUUAUGCUAUUAUAAUUAAAUGGCUGUAAUGUUGGCUGUAAAUAUGAAAUUUUCUUUCACACACCAAUGUUUUCAAGAAUGGCAUAUUCACAUGCAGUAUGUGAUGAAAGAAGCAGUAAAGGAUGCUAACAAAGCUAUUUCUUUGGACAAUCUGAACCUGACGGAGUCUUACUCUGUCGCCCAGGCAGGAGUGCAAUGGCACAAUCUUGGCUCACCACAACCUCCGCCUCCUGGGUUCAAGUGACUCUCCUGCCUGGCCAUAGAAGCAAACACAAACAUAGAGGAAUUGGCUUUGGGCAGAUGGAAGGACCUCAGAGAAAAGAAACAAAGGAAAGAAAACUGGAUGGAUAAAGGUUUGUAGAAAUACUAUUCACAGGAAGCAAAUAGGAAUUCCUUAUCGCUAAACAGACACUAAGUCAAUUGGUAAAGAUCUUGCCAGCUGGUGCCUGGGUGCAUAGACUGCCUAUGGCUCUUGAAUUGCAUGCUGAAAACUUCAUAAUGAAACCAGAAAAUCACAGAAGCAUAAACACAGCUGCUUAUGCCUAUAAAGUAAGUGGUUUACAAGGGAAAGCCUAAUCAGUAGAAUCGAGUGUUUAGUCAAUUACAUUAACAGUAGACAAAUAGAAAUCAUAUGUAUUUGACAGGAGGCCAUUUUAAGAAACUUUGUAUUUGUAUGCUGCAAACAUAAUGAGACACUUAAAAAGAAAUGUCAUCCAUUAUUCAUGAAUUUGAAUAAAAUACAGAGCUCUCUUGAAAAAAAUCAGAAAA
ensembl:lncRNA LINC03076 long intergenic non-protein coding RNA 3076